UACGGCUAUAUAACGUUGAAACACCCGUUUCCGAAUGCUAACCGAAGUUAAGCAACGUCGAGCCUUGUUAGUACCUAGAUGGGUGACUGCUUGAGAAUACCAGGUAAUGCUG